rnacentral:lncRNA from 1 species
AGGGAAGGGCUAUUUCAAAGCAAAUAAUGUAUAUUUUUAUAAUCUUUCAAAUCAAAAUCUUUAUUUUCAAAGCCUGGUUAAGCUUCACAAAAACAAGCAAGACAGGUGUUUUUGAUGGACUGUAAAUAAAUAGCUAUUCGUUUCAUCCUCCAUGUUCUUAAACUAAAAAUUAAAUAUUGAUGAGCCAUUUUCUGUCUUCCUGUAAUUCACCAGGAGCUUACACCGCAUUAUUCUCAUUGACUCUGAUAGCUCCUGUCCAUACUGACCACUCCUUUGGUUCUAGGAAGUGAGAUUUCUUAUAGGCAUCUGUUUCUCAAGAUGAAAUAUUCUAGAUUAUAAAAGCCAAGAGCCACUUGAAGACAGAAAUUCUAGCAGUCUAAGAAUUGUUUUUUAAAAGGCCAAACUUCAGUUCACCUAAUUUCAAUGUUUUCUCAGUAAAAUAGCAUUUUAUUAGAAACAAUUUACUUAAAAUUAUUAGAGAAACUUCAAAGACAUAAGGCCCUCUGUUGCCGUAACAUUCUUCAGAGGUAAUGCUCAUUCAUUUACUUUGCAGUUGUGCACUGAGGGGUCUGUGCUUUGCAUUGGGCUUUGUACUCUGGUAUGCGGAGAUAAAAACUCCAAUAUGGGAGAAGCAUCUGCACACUGCACGAGCACAAGGAGAGCUGGGUGGAUUUUCCAGUUAGAGUGUUAUCUAAAAGCAUUUAAUAACUGUCCUGCACAGAAAUUCAUUUUAUUAUACCACAUAUUAUAUGUUUCUUUGAUUAUUAAUUUGGUAUUUUAGCAGCCUAGAAGGACUUGAAAUUCCGAAUAUCCAGCAAAAGAUGUUUAACCGUCUUGGGAAUCUCUCUCACAUCUAUUUUAAGAAAUUCCAGUACUGUGGCUAUGCACCGCACGUUCGCAGCUGCAAACCCAACACCGACGGCCUCUCCUCUCUCGAGAACCUCCUGGCCAGCAUCAUUCAGAGAGUGUUCGUGUGGGUUGUGUCCGCGGUUACCUGCUUUGGAAACAUUUUUGUCAUCUGCAUGCGACCUUAUAUCCGGUCUGAGAACAAGCUACAUGCCAUGUCAAUCAUGUCUCUCUGCUGUGAGUAUUCCUGACUAAUAAGGAGCUCUAGUUUUGAAGUAUUUCAAAGCAUAGCUAUUAUAUCUGCAAGUAUGAUUUGUUUGGGAAAUAUGAUUGUAAUCAAAAGCACCUGUAUAUUAAUGAGUAUUUCCCUAUAAGAAAUAAUAAAAUUCAGAUGAUUCAUCCACUAUCCAAAAAUAUUCAUAUAAAACUGAUAAUACUGUAAUACAAGUGUCCAAAAAUAAACAAAUUAACCUGUAUUUUAAAUAUCUUUAUGACAAGUGUGAGAGAGACAAGAG